GCCGGCAUAGCUCAGUCGGUAGAGCAGCGGUUUUGUAAACCGAAGGUCGGGGGUUCGAGUCCCUCUGCCGGCACCA
rnacentral:tRNA from 1 species